rnacentral:rRNA from 1 species
CAAACCGGAGGAAGGUGGGGAUGACGUCAAAUCAUCAUGCCCCUUAUGACCUGGGCUACACACGUGCUACAAUGGACAGAACAAAGGGCUGCGAGACCGCAAGGUUUAGCCAAUCCCAUAAAUCUGUUCUCAGUUCGGAUCGCAGUCUGCAACUCGACUGCGUGAAGCUGGAAUCGCUAGUAAUCGCGGAUCAGCAUGCCGCGGUGAAUACGUUCCCGGGCCUUGUACACACCGCCCGUCACACCACGAGAGUUUGUAACACCCGAAGUCGGUGAGGUAACCUUUAUGGAGCCAGCCGCCGAAGGUGGGACAGAUGAUUGGGGUGAAGUCGUAACAAGGUAGCCGUAUCGGAAGGUGCGGCUGGAUCACCUCCUUUCUAAGGA